GGGGCUGUAAGUUAAUGGGAGACUCGGCGCUUCGCAUGUGCCAAAUACGGGUUCGAUUCCCGUCAGCUCCA
rnacentral:tRNA from 1 species